rnacentral:rRNA from 1 species
UACGGGGGGAGCAAGCGUUGUUCGGAUUUACUGGGCGUAAAGGGCGCGUAGGCGGUCAGCACAAGUCAGUUGUGAAGUCUCCGGGCUUAACCCGGAAAGGUCAACUGAUACUGUGCGACUAGAGUGCGGAAGGGGCAACUGGAAUUCUCGGUGUAGCGGUGAAAUGCGUAGAUAUCGAGAGGAACACCUGCGGCGAAGGCGGGUUGCUGGGCCGACACUGACGCUGAUGCGCGAAAGUGUGGGGAGCGAACAGG